rnacentral:rRNA from 1 species
GAAAGGGGCUGCUCCUAGUACGAGAGGACCGGAGUGGACGAACCAAUGGUGUAUCGGUUAUGCCGCCAGGCGUACAGCCGAGUAGCUACGUUCGGGACGGAUAAACGCUGAAAGCAUCUAAGCGUGAAACCAGCCUAAAGAUGAGGUUUCUCAUUGCGUAAGCAAGUAAGGCCCCAUGAAGACGACAUGGUUGAUAGGCCGGGAGUGGAAGUGCAGCAAUGCAUGGAGCGGACCGGUACUAAUAGGCCGAGGACUUAUCUUA